CCCUGGCUCAAACGAACGCUGGCGGCAGGCUUAACACAUGCAAGUCGAGCGCCCCUCCUUCAAGCAAGCUUGAAGGAUUUUUAUCCUUGAAAAGGAAGAUCAAGACAGCUUUCAAGAAGCUUUCUUGAUGGAGGGGAGCGGCAGACGGGUGAGUAACGCGUGGGAAUCUACCCAUCUCUACGGAAUAACUCAGGGAAACUUGUGCUAAUACCGUAUACGCCCUUUUGGGGAAAGAUUUAUCGGAGAUGGAUGAGCCCGCGUUGGAUUAGCUAGUUGGUGGGGUAAAGGCCUACCAAGGCGACGAUCCAUAGCUGGUCUGAGAGGAUGAUCAGCCACAUUGGGACUGAGACACGGCCCAAACUCCUACGGGAGGCAGCAGUGGGGAAUAUUGGACAAUGGGCGCAAGCCUGAUCCAGCCAUGCCGCGUGAGUGAUGAAGGCCUUAGGGUUGUAAAGCUCUUUCACCGGAGAAGAUAAUGACGGUAUCCCGGAGAAGAAGCCCCGGCUAACU
rnacentral:rRNA from 1 species